CCUACGGGAGGCAGCAGUGGGGAAUAUUGCACAAUGGGCGCAAGCCUGAUGCAGCAACGCCGCGUGAGGGACGACGGCCUUCGGGUUGUAAACCUCUUUUAGUAGGGAAGAAGCGAAAGUGACGGUACCUGCAGAAAAAGCACCGGCUAACUACGUGCCAGCAGCCGCGGUAAUACGUAGGGUGCAAGCGUUAUCCGGAAUUAUUGGGCGUAAAGAGCUCGUAGGCGGUUUGUCGCGUCUGCUGUGAAAACUGGAGGCUCAACCUCCAGCCUGCAGUGGGUACGGGCAAACUAGAGUGCGGUAGGGGAGAUUGGAAUUCCUGGUGUAGCGGUGGAAUGCGCAGAUAUCAGGAGGAACACCGAUGGCGAAGGCAGAUCUCUGGGCCGUAACUGACGCUGAGGAGCGAAAGCAUGGGGAGCGAACAGGAUUAGAUACCCUGGUAGUCCAUGCCGUAAACGUUGGGCGCUAGAUGUGGGGACCAUUCCACGGUUUCCGUGUCGCAGCUAACGCAUUAAGCGCCCGCCUGGGGAGUCGGCCGCAAGGCUAAAACUCAAAUAGAUUAGUAGNGUUGAGAGNGCGAGACGACGACGAGGAGAG
rnacentral:rRNA from 1 species